CGUGGCCUUCACUCAACUGCCUGAGAAGCAGGAAGUUAUCAGGACAUCUACUGCUGGUACACAAGAGAUAUUAUUACAAUAGAACAAUGCAGCCAUCAGAUGCUUCCUAUUCAAUGGUGUACAAUGGAACUAGGAUGACACUCACUAUUCAUCUUUAGGGUAAUCUGUGGAUUGAGAUAUCGUUACAAGUCUCUGCUUGACACUUCUAUCACUGUAAUCCCUGCACGUAUGAUGGCAUUAUAAAGCUCAAGUUCCAGCAUACCUUGUAUAUAUUAUGAAGG